AAACCUCAACCUCCUUGGUUUCUUCUGGAGACCAAAGCAGGCUUGGACUUUGGAGGCCUUUGCUGGCACCUCUCGCCAGCUCCUCUUAAAUGAAUUAGAAGGGUCCUCUUUGCUGAUCCUCGACGUGUGAUAAGAUGUUUCCAUGUCUUGGUUUCUGGCUCUGUCACCUUUGGGACCCGCUUCUAACCGUCUUCAACCUUGCGUUGAGACAACGUUCGAGCAUGUCUCCCUUCUCGGGAAGCUCCCUCGACCCCACGAAC
rnacentral:misc_RNA from 1 species